GACGAACGCUGGCGGCGUGCUUAACACAUGCAAGUCGAACGGAAGGGCCCUUCGGGGUACUCGAGUGGCGAACGGGUGAGUAACACGUGGGUGAUCUGCCCUGCACUUUGGGAUAAGCCUGGGAAACUGGGUCUAAUACCGAAUAGGACCACGCGCUUCAUGGUGUGUGGUGGAAAGCUUUUGCGGUGUGGGAUGGGCCCGCGGCCUAUCAGCUUGUUGGUGGGGUAAUGGCCUACCAAGGCGACGACGGGUAGCCGGCCUGAGAGGGUGACCGGCCACACUGGGACUGAGAUACGGCCCAGACUCCUACGGGAGGCAGCAGUGGGGAAUAUUGCACAAUGGGCGCAAGCCUGAUGCAGCGACGCCGCGUGAGGGAUGACGGCCUUCGGGUUGUAAACCUCUUUCAAUAGGGACGAAGCGCAAGUGACGGUACCUAUAGAAGAAGCACCGGCCAACUACGCG
rnacentral:rRNA from 1 species